UACGUAGGGUGCAAGCGUUAAUCGGAAUUACUGGGCGUAAAGCGUGCGUAGGUGGUUUGUUAAGUCUGAUGUGAAAGCCCUGGGCUCAACCUGGGAAUUGCAUUGGAUACUGGCAGGCUAGAGUGCGGUAGAGGAUGGCGGAAUUCCCGGUGUAGCAGUGAAAUGCGUAGAGAUCGGGAGGAACAUCUGUGGCGAAGGCGGCCAUCUGGACCAGCACUGACACUGAGCACGAAAGCGUGGGGAGCAAACAGG
rnacentral:rRNA from 1 species